UUAAUACUUCCUCAGUCUAAAAAUACUUGUCAUGGAAAUGAAUGUAUCUAGACUUAUUUUAGUUAUAGAUACAUUCAUUGUAUUUAUUUUUAGAACAAGUAUUUCCGGACGGGGAAGUAUUAA
rnacentral:pre_miRNA from 2 species